CCAGUGCGCGCCCCUCCCAUUUCAGCCGGGCCGCCGCUAUCGGCUCCUUCGGUAGUCGGAGGACGUCCGGGAAGCGGCGGCUCAGCCGCUCCACCUCCGCGGCCGUGGGCCACUGAGUAACCCACGGCCCCGGCCGUGACCAAGCACCGGACUUGCCUCCGCGCCCAGGGUUGGUAAACUUACCCGGUCCUCUAGCCGCUCCCUCCGUCGUCUUCCCCAGCGGUUCCGUCGUCUUCCCCAUCGGUGCCUUCCCCUUGCGAUCCAUGGAGUUUCCCCCAAGCUGCCCGAGGAUCACAGAAAGCCGAGAAGAAACUUGCCGAUCCGGGAAGGCUUGCCGAAACCAAGUUGUUGUGCUUCACACCGCCCCGCCCGCCCGCCGUGAGUGUCACACCGGACGGCCGGAGCCUCGUCGGACGCCGAUAGAGACGCCGCCGACUAGCCGUUAAAACUUUCUCUCUCUGUAACUGGAGCUUCUCGCUCUAACUAUCCGUUACAAUCAUAGCAACCUUUCACCACAUCAGUGCCAUAUGUUCUUCUAGUCAUGUCCUUAAUAAUAGACCCAUGAACAAUUCAAUUGGAAAAAAGAAUUGUUUUUUUGUAAAAUUUGGAAAUUUAAAGCACAAAGGUAGGUAGAAAAAGUAUUCAGAUUGAUCUUACAACGGAUAGAUAUUAGAGAAAAGUUGCUUCAUAGAUUUGAUUUUGCCGAGUCGUCUUUUUAAGUUUAAUUGAACCCCAAAAAAAAGGUUUUAAAAAAAUAAAAGUUAUAGAUGAGGAUACGGUAAAAUAAAAAGUAAAAAGAGAAAAUUACAAAUUUUUUCUUAAAUUAGAAAUAAAUUAUAUUUACAUUUAAUAAUUUAAAAUUUUUAUCUGAAAUUUAUUUUUAUCUAAUUUAAUCUAUAACUUAACAAAAUAUUAAUCAAAUCGUUAAUUUUAAAUGGGAUCCAAAUGUCAUGUUAGAAAACUUUCAAAAAUAAUAAAAAUAAAUUUAAGUAAAAUAACAACAAUUUGAGGACAUAAAAAAAUAUGUGUUUUUUUUCUGCAUGAAAGCAAUUUUCAUUUUUUACGGAAGAUAAAUGGUUGAUUUUACUUGGUGUAAGUAUAGUUUUUACGGGAUGUAAAUAUAAUAAACAUAAACUUUAAAAGGGGUUUUUAUAAUAUAUUCAAAAAAAUAUUCAUUUGAUAUGUUACUGAUUACCACAUAAGAGAGUGCGCAUGCUUAUUAAUUCAGAGUAACGUGGAGAUUAUUCCAGGAAAACCUGGUUAUAGUAUACGGCAUUGUUUAUUAAGUUAGGAUGUUUGUUUCGCGUAGGAUUGCUGGUACGUAUGUAGAGAUGGGCACUGGGCCGGGCCGCCCAUGGCCCGGCACGGCCCGCUUGCUACAGUAACGGGCCGUGCCUAGCACGGCCCAUUAAAGGGGG
rnacentral:lncRNA from 1 species